rnacentral:rRNA from 1 species
UCCUCCCUCUGGCGGCGUGCUUAACACAUGCAAGUCGAACGGAAAGGCCCUGCUUUUGUGGGGUGCUCGAGUGGCGAACGGGUGAGUAACACGUGAGUAACCUGCCCUUGACUUUGGGAUAACUUCAGGAAACUGGGGCUAAUACCGGAUAGGAGCUCCUGCUGCAUGGUGGGGGUUGGAAAGUUUCGGCGGUUGGGGAUGGACUCGCGGCUUAUCAGCUUGUUGGUGGGGUAGUGGCUUACCAAGGCUUUGACGGGUAGCCGGCCUGAGAGGGUGACCGGCCACAUUGGGACUGAGAUACGGCCCAGACUCCUACGGGAGGCAGCAGUGGGGAAUAUUGCACAAUGGGCGGAAGCCUGAUGCAGCAACGCCGCGUGCGGGAUGACGGCCUUCGGGUUGUAGACCGCUUUCGCCUGUGACGAAGCGUGAGUGACGGUAAUGGGUAAAGAAGCACCGGCUAACUACGUG